GGCUGGUGCCGGAGGCAGACCGUGAGCUCAGGCAGGGGAGGGUCAGUCAAGGCUAUCGCCCCCACUUCUUGCUGGGCCGGUUUUCGUCAGGGGAAUUUCACCCACUGGGUCUUAACAGCCACUUGGCCUCUGACAAAAAAAUGCUGUGGCAAUGACUUCAGUACUCAAAACAAUGUUUCCAAAAGAGAGAUAGACAAUGCUUUGUGCCCCUUCUUCCCCCUUCACAACUUUACAGGGCAUUGCCUGCUAUCGGAUGGUUUUCUGAAAACCCACAGACCUCUCCCACCUCCUCCGCAUAGAGCACCGACAGGUGCGGCAUGGGUUCACCACUCAAGCAGUCGACAGCCUGGAUUUCUAACGGCCAACUUCAAUUCUCUCCCCUCCCUCUCUAGCACCUCUCUUUCCCCCAGUAAGUCAUCCUAAGCUGGCUGUCCUGAUAAACCGGGGGCUUGGGGACUUUCUUCAAGUGCCUUGUAAAUGGAAGCAUCUCAGACUAACAGCUCUGGGUGUUCAAUGAGAUUAUAUUUCUUAUUUAAAUAGCUGAUUGGAGAAUUGGUUUCAAAGUAAGAUGCUGUACACCCAUGGCCUCCUCUGGGCUCCUGGAGAGAAGCAAUAUUGUGUGGCAUUGUGCAGCGGCAGGAGCCUCUCCUUCCAAGCUCCCCACUCCCAUUCAGAUGCCUCCAGGACGGGGGGAGCGGGCCGCGGUGGGGGAUGAAAGCUGCCUCCCCUCCUGGUUUGGGGGAGCCGGAGAUUAUGCCUUUCAUUCAAGAGUGCCUUCUCCAGGGCUCCCCACCAUGCUCUGUACCAGUUGUCUUCCCCUCUCAAAGCGACGGGGAGAUAAAAGGCAAUGUGUUCGCUUCAUCCCACCUCCGGGGAGAGCUCAAAUCAGGCUUUUGUCAGCGGAGGAUAAGCGACACCAUUUUAGGAAGGGUUGUUGUUCAGGGAGCUCUGUUGGACGGUUUUGUGCAAGCUUUAUCCACCCCCUCCCAUGACUCGUGCCAUGGUUCCCCUGGCCCCAUGCUGGGCUGUGGGCGGGCUGAUGCUUCCUCUCUGAUCGGUGCCCACAGCCAGCCCUGAGAGGGGUGGCAUCACCGUGGGGAGCCGGCAAUCCCUAGCCCUUCAGGAAAAAUGAGGUUUCACAGAACCAAAUCCUGCUUGAAUUGUGCUGUACGAAUCCUGUGAGGGCCCGAGCUCUUAGCUUAGAGCAAAUUUUGCAGUUAAUUGUGUGUCAAAAUAACGUAUUAGAAACAGCAGCGUCUGGACCGUGUGCAAUUCCUCUCCUUUCAAGCCUUUGUCUGCCCAGGGCUGGAGGGGCUUGUCAGGGCAUCUUUGAGACAGGCUGGUGGCCCCCGUCAAAAGCAGCCCAAGGAUUUCGGUGACUAUCCCAGAGCCUUGGACAAGAUAAAAGACCAGUGGUGGCCUUGAAGAAUGCCCGGCUCUGUCCGCAGUGCUGGGCGGGGCCGGUGAUCUUCAUUACCAGUAGCUGCGGCACAGAGGCGGGCAGUUUGGUAUGCCAGGCACAUCCAGCGCCUCAUGCAUCCAGGGACCGCAAUCAGGUAGCUGAUGGGGAUGCAAGUCACAUCGCCUGGACCAUUGCCGCAGUGAACUGAUUCAUGCUGCUACUUUGAGGCGGGGAGAAGGGACAGCGGGGCCCUGAGACAAACCAGCCCGGCUUUAUUACACAGCUGCUGUUUUCAAGCCAGAAUAUUCCAGCCUCUCCUGCUCCUUCUCUUGCUGCUGGGCCUGCACUGGCUGCCUACCUGCAAAGAAAGUGCUCGUUCUGGCCCCUGGCUCUGGCUGAACAAUGGCAUUAUGUGAUGCAUAAAGAGUACCCGGGCAACGGAGACAAGCAUGGCUUAAUUCGCUCAGUGCCCAGUGGCUUUUGAACGCCCCUGUAUUCAGCCUUUAUCCUGAGCAGCCUGGGCCUCCCCGGCCUUUAUUCCCCAGCCCUCCCCAUCACAGUCUUCCUCCAGUUUCCACACAGGUCUGCAAUGGAGCUGAUGGCCAUGAAAUGAGAGGCACAAAGGAAGGGAAGACAGGACGCUCUGUCUCUAACCAGGAAAGACUCCUGCUUGUGGGAAAAAGAAAAGAAACCAAAACUGGACCUAAUACCUUUAGAUCGCCUGCCAUCUAAUAUCCGGGUUAACUCCAGACUGGGCCCCUUUCCAGAGGCAAUGGAAAUGCUCCAGCAGGAUCUCACUUCCUCACUGCCCCAUCACCCAACCCGGUGGGGACAGAUGAUGCCCCAGAUUCCCAGCAGCCCCACCCCUGCAUGGCUGAGGAAAUGCUUCCACCACCUGAGCUUCUACCUGCCCAUCCAGACUGGCUCUCUGCCCUUAGGCCCUCAGUCUCCGCAUCCUGCCUUCCUGGUCUCCCAGUAGGAGACCUCUGCAGGUACUGUCACCUGGAGAACCCAGAAUCUGGAAGGGACCACAGGGGGACUCCAAGCAGAGCUCUGCCCAUGGAGCCCACACUGGCUGCCAUGUCCCUUCAGCCCAGCUCACAGAAAUACAUCCUAAGGAAGAGAUGCCACAUCUACUAUACACAGAGGUCUCUGAAGCCACACGUUCAUAUUGUUUCAACAAGCAUUGAACAACUAAUAUUUGCUGGCACUGAGGAAAAAUAUUAGGUACAAGGAGCUCCUUGAAGGCAGGGAGAAAAGACAGACUCUCAUACACAAGUUCAGUUAGAUAACAAGCAGUGAGCAGGCAACUGGGACUAAAUGCUACCAUCUUCUGUAUUGAUAGAGGGAUCACUGUAUUAUAGCACCACACUCGGAUGUCAGAAACAUCUUGGCCAGACACAGCAUUAAUACAGGAGGCAUGAAGCUGACUCCCUACUCAUCACUGCAAUACAAAGUCAAAAAGCCUCUAUAGCUCUCCCAGAACAUGGAUCAGAUUGUUAUGGGAGGUGAGAGAAGAACGAUGUGAUAUUUAAUCUGUUCUCUAAACAUACACAAAGAGACAAGAGGUGAAAGGGCUUGGAUGGUUCACUGAGGGAGUGGUCCCAAACUCCAGAGUAGUUCAGGCUGGGUGGAGCAGUGGGAACAUAGAAGAAGAGAGUUGAAAAUAAAGUGAGAAAGUUCAAUUAGGACUUUCUCCAAAUCACAAUGGACCCCCGGGCAGACAGAAAAGUUCAAAUUUUAUUCUGUAAACCAUAGGAAGCCAUUGAAUGUUCAUUAAGGGGGGAUUCCAUCAGAACUGCGAUUCAGAAGGAGCCUCCACUGGCUAUGUGGAGAGCAGACUAGGAGCUAGAAGAGUGGCCAGGAGAUGAAAGCAAUGCACCAGGGAAGCGGAUGAUGGCCUGAACGAGGGCAGUGGUGAUGGGAUGCACAGGAGGUAUAUGUCAGAACUCAUACAGAGAAAGAAUCCAAACAGCUUGGUGGGUGGCUGAACAUUCUGGGUAAUGAUCAAAGAUGCCUGAAGUGUUGGGGAGGAUGACAAUGCCGCCUUCAGAAGGAGGAAGAACAGGUUUAAAAGGGAAGAAGAUUUCAGACUCAUGCCCUGGAUGGAUGAUCAAAGACCAAGCAGCAACCUCAGGGCUUGUCUAUGUGGGUUGGAGGGCCCUAGAAGAGCUUGUUGCACAGGAGGAGUGGUCUGGGGCCCAGGGAUACUGGGCUGCAGAAUCUCACAUGGGCACCAUGGAGGAACCAGCAGCCCAGAAACACUCCCCAAGGCCCUGUCUAGUGGCCCUGGGCCAAGCUGCGAGCUGCAGCCUCUGGGGCCUGUGAAGCCCUGAGUACCUCAUGGGGACUGUAAAUAUUUGCCUGAUUAAGAGCCCCAACCAGAGACUCAGCAACAGCUCCUCCAUACGCAGUAAUCGACACAUCUUCCGUGGAGGGCUUAGAGAGGGGAAGCCAUCUCAAGUGAUGGCACUUCACACUCAGCACUUGACAUUCCCAGGCACUCCACAGGCAUUAGCUAAUUAGUCCUUGAGUCUGUUUAGCCCCCAAAAGAACUCCCAGAGGUUCCAUUCAUGCCCCAUGUGCAGGGAGUUUCACACCCUUCUGAGUCAGGAUCCAGAGCAUUGGGGAGACAGCUUUGCAGAUAGCCACUCGCCCACUCACUCCCUUGCAGAGAAAUCAAGUGUCUGCAAGGGAGCCGGAAAGAAGAAGUUUUCACUGUGUCAUAUUCUUCCUGGGAAAGAGAUAGGAGACAGAGAAAGGGACAGGAGACCAGUAUCUACUCAAAUCCCUACUAGUAAUGCUCACUGCAGUUUAUUUUUCUCUGAGCAUUUUAAACAUCUUCCCAUUUAACCCUCAAAAUUAUCCUAUGAUAUACAAUGUGUUUUUUAGAUUGAGCUCUCCCAGGAGGAGUCACUGGGGCAAGGAUUCAGGUGUAAGCAAUUGAUCUGGGAUUUGACCCCAGGAAACACCAGUCAGGAGAGGGAAGAAAAGAAAAAGAAGGGAAAGAAGCCAAUAAAGUGUGUUUUGGAGCACUCCACUACUGCAGGCCUAUGAGGCUUCAUCACCCUGGGCCACUCUGGAGAUCUGCACAGCACACCUCAGUCACCCCACUGAGGGAUGAAGGAGCUGGGGGAUGUAUCCUCCAACUCCUGCCAGUCAUGGGUUGAAGGUUGCUCCCAGUUGGGAGAAUGGAUUAACUCCCCCCACAAUGCCUGGCCUGUGCCAUGUACACACAUACUCAAAACAACCUGAAAGCCCUUAGACAAAUAUCCACAGGUGCUUGUGUCAGAAGUCUCCAGGUUGGGUACACAGGAACGGUGAUUGCCAAGAGAUAUGGACAAAGCACCGAUAGCAUCUUUUACGAUACCACUAUUCCAUUUUAAUAGAUGAGAAACCUGACGUUCAGAGAUGGGACCGAAUUUGGCCAAGAUCACACAAGUACAAAGUGAUGAAACCUAAAUUUAGACCAAGCCAGUUUGCCUCCACUUCUUGGUUCAUUUCGCUACGCACCACUAUCUUCCAGGCCUAGCUUCCCUCUUCUCCCUUCUUUCUCCUUAUCCCAGACACAAAGGACAGGGCUGUCUGCUAACAGUGUCUCCUCUCCCUGAACAUGCCUCUGAGAUGCCUGACUCUUUCCAGCAAGUGUCCUUGAGAUAAGGCUUGAUGACAGAUCUGUCUAUUGGUGAAGUCUGAACCAGGUGGAGCACCCUUUCCUCUGCCACGCUUACUGCUGCUUACCAAAUCCCCUUUUCUUUGACCCUUUAAUUCAUUUGAUAACUUUGAGAUGCACAGACCUGCAGGGCUUCAAAGAACAGUAAAUUUCCCAUCCCGAACACCACAGCCCUUGCUGCUGGGUUUGUGCUUUGUUUUUGCUUGCACAAGCCAGUGGUGAGCAUUUAUCGCUGGUUAGAGAAUUGAAUUUGGCAGGAGAGAUUUCUGUGCAUUUGGGGGAUUAAUUUGUCAAGCACCUUCGCCAGCAGAAAUGCUAAGGAUGGCAGCCAAGAGUAGGGUGGUGCAGGCAGUCUGGCAAACAUAGGCCAAACCCUCUUUUGUAGCUGGUUCUCUCUAGCCCUGAGAAGAAAUGCAACAUCACUCAGCUUUCACACCCCAGGAGCACGGCUUUCCCUUAGGCACACUGUCUUCUCCCCAAAUUAGCACUGUCUCAUCAGGGGCCAACCCAACAGGGAAGCCGGGGUUGAGAAGGUGGUGGGGUGGCCAGACAGAAUGAGGGGACCUGGGAACUAGGCAUGUUCCCCUGGGUGGAGCACAUACUUGGGGCCUGCCUAUCAAGAAUAGCAAAUUCACAGGUGUGACAGGAAGUGAGAGAAUGAGCCAGGAAUGAGCAUCAGGUGGGGUCGGCUACAGUAAGGAGCAAGAGAGUCCCCAGAGGUCUCAGAAAUGCAAAUAGGUAGAGAUCUGGCAAGCAGACUGGUGGGUAUAAUAGUCAUUGUCAUUCAAAGGUGUGCUAGAGACAGCUUAUACCACUUCUCUAGAGGCAAUUGUUAAAUUUUCAAAAAGUUUGCAAGCCAGUUGCUAAACACAGCCAUUAUUAAAAUGUAAAUCCUAUAAAUUUAGAGUUAAAUUGUAUUAAAAUCAAAAGUUAAAGGAUACUCAAAAUAUAUCACUAUGCUUUACUAUGAUCUAUAUUGUUAAGUUUACCUAGGAAUCCUGUGUCUGUGUGAUGGGAAUUCUGUACAAUGGUGACUGUCACAUAUACAUCUCUUCCCAACCCCAGGUCCAGCGUUGGAACAUUGGUAGCUUGAAAUUGACCAUAUUGGUAGGAUUUACACCAAGGAAAUUGGCAAACGCUAAAAAUUAGGACUGUUUUUGUGAAAGCCAGUGUUUAGUAGAAUUUACUGGCACACUACUAGCAAUUGCUACCCUGAAUCAAGGCACUAUCUACCCUGCAUCAUGCUAAAUGUCUCACAUUCGUUAUAUUACAAUGUAGGCAUCACACACCUGUAUGGCACGCCAGUCGUUAAAAUAUUGAAUUACUUUCACUUUGGUUGCUAAACAGCUGCUGUCCCAAGCCCCGGCAUGUCCUCCUUCCACCUUAGCCACCCCUGCCCUCCUCUGAUACCUCUAAAGGUUUGCGCCUAAUCCUGCUGUAAGACUGGAAGACUGGCCAGUGCUCACACAAUACAGGCUGUUCAUAUUUUUACCAUAAUCUCUACUUACAUUUAUCCUACAAGGUGGAUAUUAUUAUCAUCCCCUUUUUACUGAUGAGGAAACUGAGGCUCAGAGAGAAACCAACUUGUCUUGAGCCACACAGCUAGCAAAAUACAAGACCUGGGAUAGAGCCUAAGUUGACCUGGGUCCACCCAGUGUUCCUAACCAUUGGGACACACCAUUUCUCAGCAGCAUGGAGGUCUGGGGUCUGAUGGCAGGGCCUGGGCCCAUGAGGCCAGGGCAGUUCAAGAGGUCUCACAGCUGGGCCACUAGACACUGUAGGAGCUAAAGGGAUGGCUAGGGAGGGCCAGGAAUUAGAUACUCCUCCCCUUACUUCCCCUGUCUUGCCUCUCCCCUCCUCUUCCUUUCAUAUCAUCUCCUCCCCUCCCCUUCUGUGCCCAAUCUGAGUCCUUAAACGGCAAAGUGUAAAACACCAUAUCUGCCCUCAGGAAGCUUACAGUCUGAGCUAAGGAGAAACUGCCCAUACCUAUGAACAAUAUAAAUACUAAAUAUUUGAUUACAUCACACAAGCCAAGUCACAAAGCAGGUGUCACGGCUGAGAGACAACAAGGAAGCUCUCAGAAACUGAGGGCCAAACACUCUCAUCUAUUAGGCAAUGCAAAGAUUUUCCUGUUACUGCAAUUCUUAGAUAUAAUGUGCAUCAUUGUAAGAGUGAAUCACUAAGUUAGAAGCUUCCUGGAGGAAAAAUACUGCCUCAUCAAACAUAUGCCACAAUGGUAAGAGCCAUCCUGAUUUCAGAAGUGUGCAUUGUAAGGCAGAAAAAUAUAUCCUCAUGCUCCAAGGUCACUAGGACAAUGGAUACAGCAGAAAGUCAGUUCCCUCAAAUCUCGCCUUGUGAUUCAUUCAUUCACUCAUUCAACAAAUAUUUUUGAGAGCCUGGUGCUGGGGACAUGGCAGACAACAGUAAACGGGAGACUGGCUUCCUGCUCUCCCAGAGCUCCCAUCUGAGUGGAGCAGACAGCCUUUAUGUUAGUAACACAACAUAUAAAUAUGCACUUACAAAUAGGAAUAUGUGCAAAGAAAGAACAGAACUGAAUGUUGUGAGACAAAGAACAAAGAGGAAGGAAGAGCUUUGAGCAGAUAUCCAGGGAAGGCCUCUCAGAAGAAGCUCCUGCAAAGGAGGAUGGGUGAGGAACAAGCUCCAGGAGACGGAGAGGACGUGCCAUGGACCCAAGGGGCAAGGAGUCCAGGGUGUGCUCCAUACUGAAGAAAGGCCAGUCCAGUGAGUGCAGCAGAAGCCACAUCAGCUCAGCCGUAUGGCCAUGGCAAGGGGUUUUGGUUUUAAUCUGAGUGCAGUUGGGCGAAUUUAGGUAAAAGUGACAUGCGGGGAAGUGGCAUAGGCUGAUGCAACUCUUGGAAGAAUCCCUCUGGGUGCUGGGUUAAGAAUAGGCCCAUUGGGAGUGGUGGGAGGAGUAGAAGUAGAGAAACCAGAGACAAGGCUAGUGUGGUGCUCCCAGCAAAUGCAAACAGUGAUGGCAGUUGGGACUAGGGUCGUGGCCAUAGAGAAAAGAGUAGGUUGAUUCAAGCUUUGAAGAGAGCCUGGGGCAUGUUGUGAUUGACUGCACAUGGGAGAGAGAGGGGUGCUUCAUGGGCAUUGCCCUCCAGUAGGCGGAGUUGCUGCUCACUGAAAAGAAGCUUGUGUGGGCAGACCUCCUUCUCGUCCCAUCCCAAGGGAGGUGGAAAAACGACCAGGAAGAGAAGACACUUUUAGAAGCCUCAGGAGAGCCUGAGAGAGCAGUUACUGAUGCUAACUGAACCCUUCACUUAUUUGUCCUCUAUGUGGCAAGACCCACAAUGCACACUCCAAGGAGUAAUAUACAAAAUUAAUGCUGUACAAGCAUAUAAGAUGAAGAAAACACAACUCUUCAUCUGGUCCUGGGAGGCUUCGUGGAGGAAGCAUUUUCUCUCCUAGAUCUAGAAGGACAAUAGAAUCUAAAUAGGUCUUUUUCAUUUCCAUAUGAAUUAUAGAAUCAGCUUGCCAAUUUCUACAAUUUCCAUACUGCUGCAUACUCCCUCUUUCUACUUGGAUAAGAAAACAAAUAAGAGGGAAAAUCUGAGCUGGGUUGGAUACCAUGACUCUAAACAAAGUAGAUACUCAGGAAGACUGAAUUGAACUGAAGAGGCGAGCUCCGCAUCUCCAAGGUGGAACAACAGUGGUUUUGUCCUUCAAACAAAUAUCAUGCAGUCAAAGAUGUUGGAUCCAUCAGCCCUCAGCAAGGCUGUCCCCUUCCUGAGAAUUGCCCCUUUUUCCUCCAUCAGAACACACUUUCUUCUGCUCUAGUCUUUCCUGGCUGUUGGGUAUGGCUCCUGCCCCUGGAGAGCUCUCAUAAUGUACCUGUUAUCUUCUACAUCUGGGUAAACACAGACUUCAGAACAGAAAACCCAGUCCUCAGUGGAUACUGGGAGGAAAAGAUAGAAAGAAAAGGAAGAGUGUGCACUGGGAAAUCCAGUGGAAUACUAAUUGAGGGGCAUUGGCUUAGUAGCUUUAAGAAUUUGUUUUUAUGGGUUUCUAGAAAUAACAAUAGUGGCUCCCACGUAGAACAUGCCAGGCUAAGCUUUGCUUUGCAUGAAUUUUCUCAUUCAGGCCUCGUAAAAUCCAGUGGGGGACAAGCAUAGUCAUGCCCAUUUUCCUGAUGAGUUGAGGCCUACAGAGAUUAAGCAACUUUCCCAAGUCAUUGCUAGCAAUGGCAGUGCUGGAGCAUGAAUCCUGGUCUGGUCUGACUCCAAAGUCCACACUCUGGACUAAACCCCAGGGUGAUUCUGCCUUCAGGGAUGGGAAAUGGAAAAGCCCCAUAAAUGUAUGCAGUCAGAUUAUUAACAUGAUUUAAUGAGCCACUACGAUGAGCCAGGAUCGUACCCAGGACCAUCUGACACCACCAUAUGUGAUUCCACACCCAGGCAAGAUGCCUGACUCUCCUCUAGCCAGCUUGAGAAGCUGCCCCCGAUGAGAAAUGGGAGGCCUAAGGUGAUGGAUUUGAAAACAGGGAGGAAGACCUGGAAGGACCACUUCCUUUGAGAAGAGGGUCAUCUAGCAGAAUCUUAACCCCUGGAGGCUUCUCUAACUGCCUUAGGCACAGAAGAAGAUCCAUUGUUUCAGGUACCAAGUGGCCAAGAUGGCAUAGCCUUGGGCAUGGUUGGAUCAGGAUGGGAGUCCUUCUCAUCAGGUUCUUUCCAGGUGACAAAUACAUAGCCACCCACACCUUCAGGCCCACAUUUCCCCUGCUUAGAAGCCUCCUUACUUGAAGAGAGUUCCAGCAAAAGCCCCAAGUCACAUCCUUUUUGUCCCAAGUAGGCUCAUUUCACAACCAAUCCAUGAGAUGCUAUUGGGCCAGGCUUGAGUUCUACAUCCACUCCUCAAGGCAGAGGACAGAAGCCAGCCCAGUCCAACCCCACUGCCUGAGAGCAGGAAAGUGAUGAAUUCCCAAAGGAAAACGGAAACAUCAUUGCCAGAAGAUGGCAGCGCAGCAGGCAGAACAUCAGAUGUCCCCUCUGACUUCUCUCUGACCUGGAUAUCCACGGCAGAUCUGCUCAGUUCACAAGGCAUCAACCACUAAAACUGUGUUUGUUUUGUUGGCCACUCCCAGUAUUGAUUUUCACCAACUCUGAGACUUGCCAGCUUCAAAUUGCAUGAUGCUCCUUCUCUGUCUUCUUCCAGCCAAUGAAUUUCAAGGUCUGGCACCUGCAACCUGCAGAAGGCAGGGGCUUCUUUCUGAUUUAACAGGGAUCCUAUUUCCGAUGUACAUAUUUCUGUCCUCCAUACAUAAAAACUGUAUUUUCUUUCCUAGAAUUGUGGCAUAUAACUUGAUCUGAACUUAUAGAUACCAGUAGGGAUGGUGAGAAGAGGUAUUGGGGAUUAGAAAUGUAUCCAAGCACCUAGGCUGCAUGGUCACUAUACCCAUUGCCCUCUACCUGGGAAGCAUUUGGACAUGGCCAGGAAACAAUGCUUACAUCAGCAAGUUCUUAACCCUCUCACCAAAUGUCCUUGCAGAAUUGCCCCUUGUUCUAAGCCCUAACAGGGCUAAGGGGUUUCUCCAAAAGCUAUCGUUGGCUCCAAUUAGCUGGCCAAUUUAACAGGACAAAUGAAACCGAGUUGACCGCCUGGACAUCCAUGAUGAGUGACCAGGCCCAAAACUCCUGAAUCUCCUCGGACCCACCGCUGCCCAGCCUCCAGGGCAAAGAACCCCAAACAGGGUGAAGCAGAUGCCUCCCUCCUGGGGAGAAACGAGUGUGUAAGAUGUUUCACAUGCAGCAGCAGUAGCCACUGCAGCAAAAAAGGCAAGUUCAAAGGUAAUUGGACGAGGAGUUUUAAGCACGGCUGUUCCCGUAGCAAACUGUUUCAUGAAUACCCAUCGGGAUCUGUCCAUAUGGACAGCAGAAGGGUUCCUGCUGUUCUUUUGCUAAUAAAAACUGUUGUGAUUACA
rnacentral:lncRNA from 1 species